GAUGAACGCUGGCGGCGUGCUUAACACAUGCGAGUCGAACGAUGAAGCCCAGCUUGCUGGGUGGAUUAGUGGCGAACGGGUGAGUAACACGUGAGUAACCUGCCCUUAACUCUGGGAUAAGCCUGGGAAACUGGGUCUAAUACCGGAUAGGAGCGUCCACCGCAUGGGGGGUGUUGGAAAGAUUUAUCGGUUUUGGAUGGACUCGCGGCCUAUCAGCUUGUUGGUGAGGUAAUGGCUCACCAAGGCGACGACGGGUAGCCGGCCUGAGAGGGUGACCGGCCACACUGGGACUGAGACACGGCCCAGUCUCCUACGGGAGGCAGCAGUGGGGAAUAUUGCACAAUGGGCGCAAGCCUGAUGCAGCGACGCCGCGUGAGGGAUGACGGCCUUCGGGUUGUAAACCUCUUUCAGUAGGGAAGAAGCGAAAGUGACGGUACCUGCAGAAGAAGCACCGGCUAACUACGUG
rnacentral:rRNA from 1 species